CUUCCAGUAGCACCUUAGAGACCAACUAAGUUUGUUAUUGGUAUGAGCUUCGAAGAAGUGUGCAUGCACACAAAAGCUCAUACCAAUAACAAACUUAGUUGGUCUCUAAGGUGCUACUGGAAG
rnacentral:miRNA from 1 species